rnacentral:rRNA from 1 species
AUUGAACGCUGGCGGCAGGCUUAACACCUGCAAGUCGAGCGGAGCGGCGGACGGGUGAGUAAUGCCUAGGACUCUGCCUGGUAGUGGGGGAUAACGUCCGGAAACGGGCGCUAAUACCGCAUACUCUCAGAUGAGCAUAGGUCGGGUUAGCUAGUUGGUGGGGUAAUGGCCUACCAAGGCGACGAGCCGUAACGGGUCUGAGAGGAUGAUCAGUCACACUGGAACUGAGAAACGGUCCAGACUCCUACGGGAGGCAGCAGUGGGGAAUAUUGGACAAUGGGCGAAAGCCUGAUCCAGCCAUGACGCGUGUGUGAAGAAGGACUUCGGAUUGUAAAGCACUUUAAGUUGGGAGGCGUUACCAACAGAAGAAGCACCGGCUAACUUCGUGCCAGCAGCCGCGGUAAUAC